rfam:Triticum aestivum genome assembly, contig: Triticum_aestivum_CS42_TGACv1_scaffold_321158_4BL
AACAUACUCCCUCCGUCCGGAAAUACUUGCGGAGAAAUGCAUAAAAAUGGAUGUAUAUAGAACUAAAAUACGUCUAGAUUCAUCCAUUCCUCUGACAAGUAUUUUAGGACGGAGGGAGUAAUAA